rnacentral:rRNA from 1 species
GAUCAACGCUGGCGGCGCACAUAAGACAUGCAAGUUGAACGGACUUAAUCGAAAUAUUUAUAUUUUGAAGCGGUUAGUGGCGGACUGGUGAGUAACGCGUAAGGAACCUGCCUAUUAGAGGAGAAUAACAGUGAGAAAUCAUUGCUAAUACCGCAUAUGCCAUAGAUAUCACAUGAUAACAGUGGGAAAGGAGCAAUCCGCUAAUAGAUGGCCUUGCGUCUGAUUAGAUAGUUGGUGGGGUAACGGCCUACCAAGUCGACGAUCAGUAGCCGGACUGAGAGGUUGGACGGCCACGUUGGGACUGAGGUACGGCCCUGACUCCUGCGGGAGGAGGCAGUCGGGAAGAAUGAGCAAUGGAGGAAACUCGGACGCAGUGACGCCGCGUAUAGGAAGAAGGUUUUCGGAUUGUAAACUAUUGUCGUUAGGGAAGGGAAAGGACAGUACCUAAGGAGGAAGCUCCGGCUAACUACGUG